rnacentral:rRNA from 1 species
GAGUUUGAUCGUGGCUCAGAGCGAACGCUGGCGGCAUGCUUAACACAUGCAAGUCGCACGGUCAGCAAUGGCAGUGGCGGACGGGGUGAGUAACACGUAGGAAUCUAUCUCUGGGUGGGGGACAACAGUGGGAAACUACUGCUAAUACCGCAUGAUACCUGAGGGUCAAAGGCGUAAGUCGCCUGGAGAGGAGCCUGCGUCUGAUUAGCUUGUUGGUGGGGUAAAGCCUACCAAGGCUACGAUCAGUAGCUGGUCUGAGAGGAUGAUCAGCCACAUUGGGACUGAGACACGGCCCAAACUCCUACGGGAGGCAGCAGUGGGGAAUAUUGGACAAUGGGCGAAAGCCUGAUCCAGCAAUGCCGCGUGUGUGAAGAAGGUCUUCGGAUUGUAAAGCACUUUUGGCAGGGACGAUGAUGACGGUACCUGCAGAAUAAGCCCCGGCUAACUUCGUGCCAGCAGCCGCCGU